AAUGGGGGAAACCCUGACGCAGCAACGCCGCGUGAGUGAGGAAGGCCCUCGGGUCGUAAAGCUCUGUCAGAUGGGAAGAACUACAUUGGUCUAAUAGGCCUUUGUACUGACGGUACCAUCAAAGGAAGCACCGGCUAACUUCGUGCCAGCAGCCGCGGUAAUACGAAGGGUGCAAGCGUUAUUCGGAUUUACUGGGCGUAAAGCGCGCGCAGGCGGAUAGAUAAGUCAGAUGUGAAAUCUCGGGGCUCAACCCCGAAACUGCGUCUGAAACUAUUUAUCUAGAGUCUUGGAGGGGGAAGUGGAAUUUCGCAUGUAGGGGUAAAAUCCGUAGAGAUGCGAAGGAACACCAGAGGCGAAGGCGACUUCCUGGCCAAGUACUGACGCUGAGGCCCGAAAGCGUGGGGAGCAAACAGGAUU
rnacentral:rRNA from 1 species